rnacentral:rRNA from 1 species
UACGGAGGGGGCUAGCGUUGUUCGGAAUUACUGGGCGUAAAGCGCACGUAGGCGGAGUGGAAAGUUGGGGGUGAAAUCCCGGGGCUCAACCCCGGAACUGCCUUCAAAACUAUCGGUCUGGGGUGCGAGAGAGGUGAGUGGAAUUCCGAGUGUAGAGGUGAAAUUCGUAGAUAUUCGGAGGAACACCAGUGGCGAAGGCGGCUCACUGGCUCGAUACUGACGCUGAGGUGCGAAAGCGUGGGGAGCAAACAGG